UACAGAGGUCCCGAGCGUUGUUCGGAUUCAUUGGGCGUAAAGGGUGCGUAGGCGGCGAGGUAAGUCUGAUGUGAAAUCCCGGGGCUCAACCCCGGAACUGCAUUGGAUACUGCUUUGCUAGAGUACUGGAGAGGGAACUGGAAUUUACGGUGUAGCAGUGAAAUGCGUAGAGAUCGUAAGGAAGGCCAGUGGCGAAGGCGAGUUCCUGGACAGUUACUGACGCUGAGGCACGAAGGCCAGGGGAGCAAACGGG
rnacentral:rRNA from 1 species